UUGGUGGGGUGAUGGCCUACCAAGGCGGUGACGGGUAGCCGGCCUGAGAGGGCGACCGGCCACACUGGGACUGAGACACGGCCCAGACUCCUACGGGAGGCAGCAGUGGGGAAUAUUGCGCAAUGGGCGGAAGCCUGACGCAGCGACGCCGCGUGGGGGAUGACGGCCUUCGGGUUGUAAACCUCUUUCGCCAGGGACGAAGAGUGAUUGACGGUACCUGGAGAAGAAGCACCGGCCAACUACGUGCCAGCAGCCGCGGUAACACGUAGGGUGCGAGCGUUGUCCGGAAUUAUUGGGCGUAAAGAGCUCGUAGGCGGUGUGUCGCGUCGGCCGUGAAAACUUGGGGCUUAACUCUGAGCGUGCGGUCGAUACGGGCAUCACUUGAGUUCGGCAGGGGAGACUGGAAUUCCUGGUGUAGCGGUGAAAUGCGCAGAUAUCAGGAGGAACACCGGUGGCGAAGGCGGGUCUCUGGGCCGAUACUGACGCUGAGGAGCGAAAGCGUGGGGAGCGAACAGGAUUAGAUACCCUGGUAGUCCACGCCGUAAACGUUGGGCGCUAGGUGUGGGGACCAUUCCACG
rnacentral:rRNA from 2 species